AACGGCCUACGGGGGGCAGCAGUGGGGAAUAUUGGGCAAUGGGCGCAAGCCUGACCCAGCAACGCCGCGUGAAGGGAGAAGGCUUUCGGGUUGUAAACUUCUUUUAUCAGGGACGAAGCAAGUGACGGUACCUGAUGAAUAAGCCACGGCUAACUACGUGCCAGCAGCCGCGGUAAUACGUAGGUGGCAAGCGUUAUCCGGAUUUACUGGGUGUAAAGGGCGUGUAGGCGGGGGUGCAAGUCAGAUGUGAAAACU
rnacentral:rRNA from 1 species